CUCUGGACAGAACGCUUGGCUGUCGUAUCAGAUAGUGAAAUCCACUGAUCCGGGACUUUUCACUAUUGGUGUCCACAGUGGAGAGAUCAGGACCCAGCGGGACAUUUCUGAAUCUGACAGCAUGAAACAGAAUCUUGUAGUGUCAGUGAAAGAUAACGGGCAGCCCUCUCUGUCUGCCACCUGUUCCAUGUAUUUACUGAUUUCUGAUAACUUGGCUGAGGUGCCAGAACUGAAGGACAUUUCUUAUGAUGAGAAGAACUCCAAACUGACCUCUUAUCUGAUCAUCGCGCUGGUGUGUGUGUCGACGUUUUUUCUGACCUUCAUCAUCAUCAUCCUCGGUGUGAGGUUUUGUCGCAGGAGAAAGCCCAGACUGUUGUUUGACGGAGCAGUGGCCAUCCCCAGCGCGUAUCUCCCUCCUAAUUACGCAGAUGUUGACGGCACAGGAACUUUACGCAGCGCUUACAAUUAUGACGCCUACCUGACAACAGGGUCUCGAACCAGUGACUUUAAGUUUGUGUCAUCGUACAAUGACAACACACUGCCAGCUGACCAGACUCUGAGGAAAAGCCCAUCAGACUUUGCAGAAGUGUUUGGAGACUGUGACGACUCUCCUGAGGUAGGAAACCUUGCAAGACAGUUUGAUACAAGAGCGUGUUGUAAUCCAACACUUCACACUUUAACAGUCCGUUUUUAAUGUAAAUUUUUAGGUUUGUCGUUUAUUUGUGAGUUUCCUCUGCUUUGCUUGAGUUGGCUGUUUUUUUUUUCUGUGUAGAACUUUUUUUUUCUUUUUAUCUCUGUCCUUGGUUCUGAAACCCAGUUUCUUACUUGAGCAAGUUUUCCAGGACACAUACCAUCAGUCUUUAUUGUUCUUGUCUUUAAAUCUUUGCUUUUCUGAGAUUGUAAUUUGUUUUUCAUUGAAAAAGUAUACGUUCAGUGCUUUAAGUUAUAUUGGAAGUCACAGUUGGACAAUUAAGACAAGAAUAUUUGCAUAAUUUUUGCAGCAGUAAUCUGAUUAUUUUUGAUGAAGUAACAGGUUUGCUGUGAUGCAGAAGUGUCUUCAACAAGCAAUUCUCUACAGUCUCUGUUGAAUAAUGAGAGAUUUGUUAUGUGUCUUUGGUGUUGUUGUUUUUUUUCAGUUUUUAUGAAGUUGCACCAAUCAAAGCCAUGAGCUGUUAUCUACAGUGUACCUUAUAAGACCCUAGGUGGCAUCCCUUCUUAAAAAAAGACAGCUUCCAAAACACGAAGUUUACCCCUUUUUGUAUGGAUCUAUUAACUCUGCAGUGGUAUGCUCAACACUGUUUCAUGCCUGCUCAGGCUUAUGGUUAUUAUUUUAUCUGACAACAGAGUCUUAAACCAGUGACUAUAAGUUUGUGUCAUCAAACAAUGACAGCACAGUACCUGUUGACCAGACUCAAAGAAAAGCUUGAAGGACUUUGCUGAAGUGUUUGGUGACUAUGCCGACUCACCUGAAAUACGAACAAAUACAUUUAGUUUGUGUAGGUAUCUGAUUAUUUAACAGUACUUUCUGAGUUUAUGGUAAAUCUGAUUGCAGUGGAUUGACUGCAGUAACUUGUCGAUUUUUUUUUAAUCUUGACUGUAUCCAAUGCAAAUGACUCUUCUCAUCUGCAAUAUUUGUAAGGUUUUCUUUUGAUGUUGGAGAGGCCCAUUGAAGUGUCAUUUACUUCGUUUUGUGUAUUUCCUUUUAAAGCCUUAGCUAUUUUGGAACUUUUCACAUCUGUAUAUCUUUCUUUCCCUCCCUUCCUCUUUCCUACUUUUUCCCUCACACAACAACAGUGGGAGACUUAUUCUGGAUAUUUGUCAUCAGCUUUGUUGACAAAUUCUGACAAAAUAUCAUUUGGCUUUCUUUAAUAGCCACUUAAGGUAGUGAUCACCUGAAGGACUGAUUUUUAGUUGAUUUUUUUUCUCAGAUUACACUACAUAUUCACUCUGCAUUUCUCCUACAUUGUUAAAAAUGCAAAAUUUUUAAGAUCCGCUUCCUGAAAUCACAGUCCUGUGGCCCUUUCAUAAUUUAAAACAAAGAACCUGAUGCUAGUUUUUAGUGUCAAGCUUUCAAAGCUAUAAAAGGACUUUUUCAGUUUUACAUGAUCCAUACUCUGUAAAUUAUAUAAAGCUCAAUUCUGUCAGGGGUUUGUGGUGUUGUCUGCCAUGUAUUUAGCCCCCCCCCCCCCCCGUAGUUCAGAUAGUGUACAUGCUGUAGAUUCCUAUGAUAAUUACGAGUGUAAUAUCUAUGUUGGUUUCUUGGUAAAAUGGAAUCUAGCUCUUGAAAUUUCAGAUUUUUCCAUAAAUGCAUAUUUUAUUUCCUCUUUUGUGAAUUAAUGUUCACUUUGGAUGUUUCAGGUGGUUUUUGCUGUCAAGUCUCUGGGUUUUUGCCAAAUAUUCUGGUUGUUGGAAACAUUUGAGAGCUUGUGCAAAACUGAAAUAGUGUUGAGAAAACUCACUUUAUUGUCUUCCGUUUUUUGGGGUGUAAGUACUUGAAAUCUGUUAGUUUUGAAAGGACCGUUUUUGUUUGAUCUUCCUAACAUGUCUGAACUCUUUUUGUUACAUUAUAUAUCCUUGAAACAAACGUACUCGUCCUGCUGUUGUUGUGCGGUUGUUUAAAGAUAUGCAGUUUGCAUACAUGCUGUUUGUUGCAGUAUGCAGUCUCUAGAGGAGACUCACGAUGUCGCUGUGCACCAGCUGUAAUACAUGGUGUGUCGACAUCCACCCACUGUUACCAACCUAUAAUCACUGAAGGUGCUGUAGUUGAUCGUCCAGAGAGGCACGGGCUCCUUGUUGUUGGUUGAAGUCCUUUUUUCGGACAUUUUUCCUGCACUAAGAAGUAUUUACUAUUCCAGUUCGGGUUGGUGAUGGCUUUCACGAUGCUAGGAUUACAACGCUUUGCCCUCGGCUUGGUGCUGUUCUCUCUUCAUGUCACCAAUGGAGAUAUCAGCUAUUCUUUUCCGGAGGAGAUGAAACGCGGAUCUGUGAUCGGAAACAUUGUUAAGGAAUUAGGUCUCCAAAAGAACGGACUAUCGACCCGAAAGGCCCGCAUUGACACUGAGGAGAGCGAUAAACGUUUUUGUGACAUAAACCUCCAUAAUGGGGAUCUAAUUCUUGCAGAGAGAAUCGACAGAGAGGGCCUUUGUGGAGACAAAGCAUCCUGCGUUUUGAAACAGGAACUGAUGUUAGAGAAUCCGUUGGAACUGCACAGGAUUAGUCUACAUGUGCAGGAUAUAAACGAUAAUUCACCACAGUUUAACAAGGAGUUGAUCCAAAUAGAUAUCAGUGAAUCGGCAGAUAAGGGAGCUCGUUUUCCAAUAGAGGAAGCACAUGACGCGGACGUCGGUAAAUAUUCAGUUCAGACCUACAGCCUCCAAAAGAAUGAUAAUUUUGUUCUGGGCGUUGGAACAAGUUCUGUGGAGCUCGUUCUUAACCAUGAGCUUGACCGUGAAAAUGUGAAAGAAAUGAAUCUGCUCCUUACAGCUCUGGAUGGAGGCUCUCCUCAGAGAUCAGGUACAGUAGUUAUUCACGUCACUGUACUGGAUGCUAAUGAUAAUGUACCAGUGUUCAGCCAGGCCGUUUACAAAGCCAGUCUGCCUGAAAAUUCUCCACUGGAUACCAUUGUUCUAGCAGUGAGCGCUACUGAUGCAGAUGAGGGAUUAAAUGGGGAUGUUAUAUAUGAUUUUGGACACAUCUCAGAAGAUAUGGGGUCAAUAUUCGCCAUUGAUCAUAAGACAGGGGAAAUACAAUUAAAAAGAGCAGUUGAUUUUGAAAUGGCGACAUCGUAUGAACUGCGUGUCACAGCGAAAGAUGGCUUGGGAUUGACCUCAUAUGCCAAAGUCAUAAUUGAUAUAACAGAUAUAAACGACAACGCUCCGGUUAUAUACCUGAAAUCACUGACGAACCCCAUACCUGAGAACGUGUCACCUGGUACAGAGGUGGGCAUCAUUAACGUGCAGGACAGAGACUCUGAUAGUAACAGACAGGUCCGCUGCUCCAUUCAGCAAAAUGUCCCUUUUAAGUUGGUUCCUUCUAUCAAAAACUAUUAUUCUCUGGUGAGCACAGGACAACUGGACCGUGAACUAGUGUCUGAUUACAACAUUACAAUCAGUGCCACUGACGAGGGCUCUCCACCUCUGUCGUCGUCUAAAACUGUUCAGUUAUCUGUAGCAGACAUCAACGACAACCCACCUGUGUUUGAGGAGCAGUCGUACAGCGCAUAUGUGAGUGAGAAUAACAAAGCUGGCUCCACUUUAUGUUCCGUUAGUGCUCGAGACCCCGACUGGAGACAGAACGGUACAGUGAUUUAUUCUCUGUUAGGCGGUGAGGUGAACGGUGCCCCGGUGUCCUCCUAUGUGUCAGUAAACGGAGACACGGGGGUGAUCCACGCUGUGAGGUCUUUUGAUUAUGAACAGUUCCGGAGCUUCAAAGUUCAGGUGAUGGCCAGAGACAACGGUUCUCCUCCUCUCAGCAGCAACGUGACCGUGAGUGUGUUCAUAUCAGAUGUGAAUGACAACUCUCCUCAGAUCCUGUACCCCGGGCCAGAGGGCAAGUCGUUCAUGACCGAGCUGGUCCCCAAAGCUGCACACGGAGGCUCUCUGGUGUCCAAAGUGAUAGCGGUGGACGCGGACUCUGGACAGAACGCCUGGCUGUCGUAUCAAAUUGUGAAAUCCACUGAUCCGGGACUUUUCACUAUUGGUGUCCACAGCGGAGAGAUCAGGACCCAGCGGGACAUUUUUGAAUCUGACAGCAUGAAACAGAACCUUGUAGUGUCAGUGAAAGAUAACGGGCAGCCCUCUCUGUCUGCCACCUGUUCCAUGUAUUUACUGAUUUCUGAUAACUUGGCUGAGGUGCCAGAACUGAAGGACAUUUCUUAUGAUGAGAAGAACUCCAAACUGACCUCUUAUCUGAUCAUCGCGCUGGUGUGUGUGUCGACGUUUUUUCUGACCUUCAUCAUCAUCAUCCUUGGUGUGAGGUUUUGUCGCAGGAGAAAGCCCAGACUGUUGUUUGACGGAGCAGUGGCCAUCCCCAGCGCGUAUCUCCCUCCUAAUUACGCAGAUGUUGACGGCACAGGAACUUUACGCAGCGCUUACAAUUAUGACGCCUACCUGACAACAGGGUCUCGAACCAGUGACUUUAAGUUUGUGUCAUCGUACAAUGACAACACACUGCCAGCUGACCAGACUCUGAGGAAAAGUCCAUCAGACUUUGCUGAAGUGUUUGGAGACUGCGAUGACUCUCCCGAGGUAGGAAUGUUUGCCAGACACAGUAUAUUUGCUUCAUUUUGUUAGAUCUCUCUUUUGUUAGGUAAUUUGAUAGCAUUAAUAGAGACGGUUAAAUGUUUUUGUCGUUUUGUCGGCACACGAUUUAAGGAACUUGGUUUGCCAUUAUGAAUUCAGUGAAAGAAUACUUUCUUCAGAUUCUGCCUUUUUCUUGUUCGUUCAUUUGUCCCUUUACUGUAGUAUCAUAAUGUGCUUUUUUAAAUAUCAUUGUCAGUUUUUCUGACGGUGUUUAACUUUACAGCGCUGACCCUUCUGUGUUUCGAACCUAACGAAAACACAGGUUGGUGCCUAAUACUUUAAGGUCUUGGUCAGUUGAGGACAUUCCACAAGCAAGUCAGAGUUAGCACUGGUCAAAAACUUGCCGGACCAUUUUGUAUCUUAUUGGCCACAUAGAAAAUGUCACUGUCCUCUGCUUUCAUAAUAUAAUUUACUAUCAGCUGAGUGCGAAGAAAGUAUCUGAACAGAAGCAACAUUAGCUCUUGUGCAGUUCAAAUAAGUACAUAUCAUAUGAUUGCUGUGUUGCACGCUGGUUUAUUCAGUAUGGGAACUCUUGAAGAAAUUGUUCUGUGAUCAUGAGGAAAUUUGUGUUUGCAAGACGUUGUUCUCUCCUUUGUCUCUGUAUAAGAGUUUUCCAGGCAUGAGGCUAUUAGCUUUGAUGAGCAAUUUUGCUACGUUUCUGUUCAGCAGGGUUAAAUAGUUUUGCCUGUGUUCCCCAUACCUUGCUACACAUCCAUUCUUGUCCCACCAGAAACAUUUUGUGGAUUUCUGCUUUCUGUUUUUAAGUCAGUGUGAACUUAAAGAUGAAAGUGUGAUUCAUGUAAAUCUUGUUAUUUUGACGUGGAAUUUGUCUUCGCAUGAUUUGGGCAAAUCAUGUUUUUUGUUGUCUCUGUCCUUGGUGCUGAAUUUCCAUUGCCCCCUGGAAACAGUAUUUUAGAAAACAAAUCCUUUCUGUAUUAUUAAGAAUAUCCAAAAAUUCUUUUUUUUUUAUCUUACUUGACUCAUGCAUCAAUUAUAUUUAGUGUCUUUGAAAAUAUUAGAUUGAGUAUUAAUCACAGGUGUGUGGUCAUUCAGCAGUUUGCAAUGACUGUGUCUUUAGUUGUAUCAUCUCGGGCUCCUACAAGUUUCUGUUUGUUGGUUUUUUAACUUUGUCCUCCAAUGCAGGUCACCCUGUUUAAUGAAGGAUGUUAUAUAGAAAUGUUUGUUUUCCUUUAGGUGUUUGGUUAAUGGACCAUUUAUAAGUUUGCAGGACCACUGACUCCAUCACUUUGACUUUGCUCCAUGGAUUGAUUUUCUUGAAUGUGUUUACUAGUCAUAAGUGAAUGAGCUAAUCUGCACACAGUUUCUGGUAUGAGCAGUUAAUCAGAUUUCCUGUUGAAACAUGUGAGAGUUUGUGUCUUUUUACAUUAUUGUUCUGCAUACUUUUAGGAGGGUUUAUAAAGCAUGAGACUUCAAGCUGAGCUGCAUUGUGUUAAAAAAAACUUGAUUAACAUUCCUUUUUUAAAUAAGAAAUAAAAAAAAUAUUUUCCCUUUCUUCUUUAAACCCUUUAAACACACACUUUCCCCCUUUUUGUCUUUUUAUUAAUCUUUUUAAUCUGUGGUUUGUCUCUUUUUUCUUGGCACUCAGGAAUGUACAAUUAUGAUGCCUACCUGAUCACAGGGUCUUUAACCAGUGACUAAGAGUUUGUGUCGUUUUGCAGUGAAAACUCAAAGUUCAAAAUAUUUAGCUGUUGUUUUUGGAGAGUGUAGUCACCUGUAUGACUGGAUUUUAUUAUACUGAACCUUUUUGUUCAAGCUCCCAAAGUUGUGCUCCCUUUAGUUUGUGUAUACAAUUCUCAGUUCUUUAAUUGUGCUUUUCGUGUCCACAGUUUAUUUGACAUUUGAUAAUUAAAUUUUAAAAUGCAUUUUUUCAGCUUCUUUUUUAAGUUUGAAGAUGGUUCCCUUUAUCAUUGAUAUCUGUUCUUACUUUAAACAUAUAACUCAUACAUCAGUUCGCUUUUUGCACACUGAUGUUUGCUUAUUAGUGCAAUUUUUCAUGUAGCACCAUAACAACAUAUUUUUCCUUUUGUCCUAUUUGUAACAAGCACAGAGACACCAUCACUUAGGAAUGCUCAUCAUGUUCUUGUCUAACAUGUUAAGAUGGUCCACUUCUUUGCAUUUGAAAAUAGUUCUGGCCCAGCUUCUCACUCCAUCAUAUGCUCACUGGACGUUUGCUUUUCUUUUUAUAUUCUAUAUAUUUAUAUUAUAUUCCUUUUAUUUUUUCUGUCUUUGGUGCUGAACAUCAUCAUUGGAUGUUGUAAUGUAUUUUAGAGUUAGUUCAUUUCUCAGUACUAUGCUGUUACUCACUUUAUUUGGUUGGUUUCACAAAACAUUGUCUGACCUUGGUGUCAAAAAAUGUGCCUUUUAAUGCAGUGUAGACACUCUGAACAUGUCACAGUCUGUUAUCUCACUGUUAAAGUCCGAACAGCUGUAUGGUGAUUCUUCUCCUGACAAAGUAAGAACAUUUCAAUGUUUAAUAAAAAAAUAUGAGGGCACGGAAUACGUUUUUUGAUAUGCACAGAAAAGAAAAGUCUGUCUCUCGUUAUUCCUUAGAAAUACUCAUGGUGUCAGUGUGUACUAGCAAACAGGGAAACACAUUCUCCACCCUUCCGCCCAAACGAAUCUACAGCCAGACCUUUGGUGUUGCAUUUGACAAACAGUUUCAUAUAGAGCUGUUUGUGAUUAGUGUUUUCAGCUUUAAUGAAUAAUCGUUGAUAUAUUUUGACCCAAAGUAGCUCUUUUAUAAGAUUUUUUUCAAGCAGAGACAAUGGGAUUUAUGAGAUUGAUGCUGCAUGGCGGCCUAGCUGUUAUUUUUCUCGCCCUCCACCUCGUCUUUGGGGACGUGAGCUACUCCAUUCCGGAGGAGAUGAAAAGUGGAUCUGUAAUUGGCAACAUUGCGAAGGAUCUGGGACUGGAAUCGGGAAGACUGUCGGCUCGCAAUGCCCGCGUUGAUACUGAGGACAACAGUGUGAAGUACUGCAGCGUAAAUCUGAACACCGGAGAAUUAAUGGUUCAAGAAAGGAUCGACAGAGAGGGUCUUUGUGCGAAAAGAGCAUCAUGUGUUCUGAAACAGGAGCUCGUCCUGGAAAAUCCUUUAGAGGUGCACCGAAUAAAUAUUCGCGUUCAAGAUAUCAACGACAAUUCACCUCAAUUUAAAGAAGAGUCGCUUAGAAUUGAAAUUCAGGAAUCCGCGGAUAAAGGUGCGCGUUUUCUCUUGGAUGAGGCACACGAUGGAGACAUCGGGGAAAAUGGUGUUCAGGGCUAUUCUCUUCAACAGAAUGAUCAUUUUAAAUUAAAUAUAAAGACGAAAGCAAGCGGACGAAAAUAUGGAGAACUGGUUUUAGAGAAAGAGUUAGACAGAGAGGACAAAAAGGAGCUCAUGUUGUUACUAACUGCAUUUGAUGGAGGAUCUCCUCGUAGAUCAGGUACAGUCGUCAUACACGUCACUGUACUGGAUGCUAAUGAUAAUGUACCAGUGUUCAGUCAGGCCGUUUAUAAAGCCAGUCUGCCUGAAAACUCUCCUGUAGAUACACUGGUGAUCACAGUGAGUGCAACUGAUGCGGACGAAGGAAUGUAUGGUAACAUCUCUUAUGGAUUUGACGAUGUUUCAGAUGAAAACCAAGUUUUCGCUCUGAACUCCAAGACUGGUGAGGUAACAGUGGCCGGAUCACUUGAUUAUGAAAAAGAAUCGUCAUACGAAUUACAGAUAAGCGCAAAAGACGGACUAGGAUUGGCUUCAUAUGCCACCCUAAUAAUUGAUAUAACAGAUAUAAAUGAUAAUGCUCCAGUGAUAUACCUGAAAUCACUGACGAACCCCAUCCCUGAGAACGUGUCACCUGGUACAGAGGUGGGCAUCAUUAACGUGCAGGACAGAGACUCUGAUAGUAACAGACAGGUCCGCUGCUCCAUUCCUCAAAAUGUCCCUUUUAAGUUGGUUCCUUCUAUUAAAAACUAUUAUUCUCUGGUGAGCACAGGACAACUGGACCGUGAACUAGUGUCUGAUUACAACAUUACAAUCAGUGCCACUGACGAGGGCUCUCCACCUCUGUCGUCGUCUAAAACUGUUCAGUUAUCUGUAGCAGACAUCAACGACAACCCACCUGUGUUUGAGGAGCAGUCGUACAGCGCAUAUGUGAGUGAGAAUAACAAAGCUGGCUCCACUUUAUGUUCCGUUAGUGCUCGAGACCCCGACUGGAGACAGAACGGUACAGUGAUUUAUUCUCUGUUAGGCGGUGAGGUGAACGGUGCCCCGGUGUCCUCCUAUGUGUCAGUGAACGGAGACACGGGGGUGAUCCACGCUGUGAGGUCGUUUGAUUAUGAACAGUUCCGGAGCUUCAAAGUUCAGGUGAUGGCCAGAGACAACGGUUCUCCUCCUCUCAGCAGCAACGUGACCGUGAGUGUGUUCAUAUCCGAUGUGAAUGACAACUCUCCUCAGAUCCUGUACCCCGGGCCAGAGGGCAAGUCGUUCAUGACCGAGCUGGUCCCCAAAGCUGCACACGGAGGCUCUCUGGUGUCCAAAGUGAUAGCGGUGGACGCGGACUCUGGACAGAACGCCUGGCUGUCGUAUCAAAUUGUGAAAUCCACUGAUCCGGGACUUUUCACUAUUGGUGUCCACAGCGGAGAGAUCAGGACCCAGCGGGACAUUUCCGAAUCUGACAGCAUGAAACAGAACCUUGUAGUGUCAGUGAAAGAUAACGGGCAGCCCUCUCUGUCUGCCACCUGUUCCAUGUAUUUACUGAUUUCUGAUAACUUGGCUGAGGUGCCAGAACUGAAGGACAUUUCUUAUGAUGAGAAGAACUCCAAACUGACCUCUUAUCUGAUCAUCGCGCUGGUGUGUGUGUCGACGUUUUUUCUGACCUUCAUCAUCAUCAUCCUUGGUGUGAGGUUUUGUCGCAGGAGAAAGCCCAGACUGUUGUUUGACGGAGCAGUGGCCAUCCCCAGCGCGUAUCUCCCUCCUAAUUACGCAGAUGUUGACGGUACAGGAACUUUACGCAGUGCUUACAAUUAUGACGCCUACCUGACAACAGGGUCUCGAACCAGUGACUUUAAGUUUGUGUCAUCGUACAAUGACAACACACUGCCAGCUGACCAGACUCUGAGGAAAAGUCCAUCAGACUUUGCAGAAGUGUUCGGAGACUGUGAUGACUCUCCUGAG